rnacentral:misc_RNA from 1 species
GAUGAAGAACGUAGUAAAAUGCGAUAAGUAAUGUGAAUUGCAGAAUUCAGUGAAUCAUCGAAUCUUUGAACGCACAUUGCGCCCGCCAGUAUUCUGGCGGGCAUGCCUGUUCGAGCGUCAUUUCAACCCUCAAGCACAGCUUGGUGUUGGGACUCGCGUUAAUUCGCGUUCCCCAAAUUGAUUGGCGGUCACGUCGAGCUUCCAUAGCGUAGUAGUAAAACCCUCGUUACUGGUAAUCGUCGCGGCCACGCCGUUAAACCCCAACUUCUGAAUGUCGACCUCGGAUCAGGUAGGAAUACCCGCUGAACUUAAGCAUAUCAAUAAGCGGAGGA